rnacentral:rRNA from 1 species
AACGAACGCUGGCGGCAUGCCUAACACAUGCAAGUCGAACGAGACCUUCGGGUCUAGUGGCGCACGGGUGCGUAAGGCGUGGGAACCUGCCCUUAGGUUCGGAAUAACUCCCCGAAAGGGGUGCUAAUACCGGAUAAUGUCUUCGGACCAAAGAUUUAUCGCCUUUGGAUGGGCCCGCGUUGGAUUAGCUAGUUGGUAGGGUAAAAGCCUACCAAGGCGACGAUCCAUAGCUGGUCUGAGAGGAUGAUCAGCCACACUGGGACUGAGACACGGCCCAGACUCCUACGGGAGGCAGCAGUGGGGAAUAUUGGACAAUGGGCGAAAGCCUGAUCCAGCAAUGCCGCGUGAGUGAUGAAGGCCUUAGGGUUGCAAAGCUCUUUUACCCGGGAUGAUAAUGACAGUACCGGGAGAAUAAGCUCCGGCUAACUCCGUG